ACUUAGCAGAGAUGCUUUGGUGCCUUCGGGAACUCUGAGACAGGUGCUGCAUGGCUGUCGUCAGCUCGUGUUGUGAAAUGUUGGGUUAAGUCCCGCAACGAGCGCAACCCUUAUCCUUUGUUGCCAGCGGUUCGGCCGGGAACUCAAAGGAGACUGCCAGUGAUAAACUGGAGGAAGGUGGGGAUGACGUCAAGUCAUCAUGGCCCUUACGAGUAGGGCUACACACGUGCUACAAUGGCGCAUACAAAGAGAAGCGACCUCGCGAGAGCAAGCGGACCUCAUAAAGUGCGUCGUAGUCCGGAUUGGAGUCUGCAACUCGACUCCAUGAAGUCGGAAUCGCUAGUAAUCGUAGAUCAGAAUGCUACGGUGAAUACGUUCCCGGGUCUU
rnacentral:rRNA from 1 species